rnacentral:rRNA from 1 species
UACGUAGGGGGCAAGCGUUGUCCGGAAUUAUUGGGCGUAAAGAGCGUGUAGGCGGCCAGAUAAGUCCGCUGUGAAAUCUCGAGGCUCAACUUCGAGCUGUCGGUGGAAACUAUCUGGCUAGAGUCCGGAAGAGGAGAAUGGAAUUCCUGGUGUAGCGGUGAAAUGCGCAGAUAUCAGGAAGAACACCCGUGGCGAAGGCGGUUCUCUGGGACGGUACUGACACUGAGGAGCGAAAGCGUGGGUAGCAAACAGG